rnacentral:rRNA from 1 species
CCUACGGGUGGCUGCAGUGGGGAAUAUUGGGCAAUGGGGGCAAGCCUGACCCAGCAACGCCGCGUGAGGGAAGAAGGCUUUCGGGUUGUAAACUUCUUUUCUCAGGGACGAAACAAAUGACGGUACCUGAGGAAUAAGCCACGGCUAACUACGUGCCAGCAGCCGCGGUAAUACGUAGGUGGCAAGCGUUAUCCGGAAUUACUGGGUGUAAAGGGCGUGUAGGCGGGACGGCAAGUCAGAUGUGAAAACCAGGGGCUCAACCUGUGGCCUGCAUUUGAAACUGUAGUUCUUGAGUACUGGAGAGGCAGAUGGAAUUCCUAGUGUAGCGGUGAAAUGCGUAGAUAUUAGGAGGAACACCAGUGGCGAAGGCGGUCUGCUGGACAGCAACUGACGCUGAGGCGCGAAAGCGUGGGGAGCAAACAGGAUUAGAUACCCGAGUAGUA